rnacentral:rRNA from 1 species
UACGUAGGGGGCUAGCGUUAUCCGGAAUUACUGGGCGUAAAGGGAGCGUAGACGGUAAUGUAAGUCUGGAGUGAAAGGCGGGGGCCCAACCCCCGGACUGCUCUGGAAACUAUGUUACUAGAGUGCAGGAGAGGUAAGCGGAAUUCCUAGUGUAGCGGUGAAAUGCGUAGAUAUUAGGAGGAACACCAGUGGCGAAGGCGGCUUACUGGACUGUAACUGACGUUGAGGCUCGAAAGCGUGGGGAGCAAACAGG